UUCGCCGCCCGCUGUUCUAUCAAACCCUAGCCGCCAUCGCAGAUGGCGAUCUGCGUCUCAUCCCGAUUCCUUUUGCUGGUCUUUCUUCGCCUAUCUAGUGUGAUGCUUUGGGUUAUUGCGCAAGGGCUUUGAGCAGUUCAUGGCAUGUUUUUGCCUGACGCGAUGAGAUCACAAAUUAUUUACCAUCCCUUCUGAUGGCAGCACCUCGUUCAUCUCUCUCCCCUUCGUUUGAUGAUUUUUUUUUUGAGGCAACCCUUCGUUUGAUGAUGGUUGUAUGCAAUUAAGCAAGAAAAUCGUGCCGUUCCGAGUUCUUUUUUCUCUGUUUUGUAGUAAUUAACAAUCUGGUGCCUUUUUGCCCUCGUUUACUUUUCACAAAAUCUUCCGUUGCCAA